AUAAUUGGAAGAAACCGACUGAAUUUAAGCAUAUUACUAAGUCGAGGACUAAAAAUCAAAAGAGAUUUCCCUAUUAGCGGCGAGCGAACAGGAAUAUGAUCAUAGCGCUAAUCCAACUGGAUAUUUGCGAACUAAUCAAACCUCCAAUUCAGCCACGGGAAAUCAAUUGAAUGUGAUGCCAUGGCGGAUGCAAGCUCCCCAACCGUGAAUGAAUUGCCGGUGAUUACUCAUAGAGUAGCGCUCCUUGAUAGUGGAGUGUGACAGGUGGUAAUCUUCACCGAAAUCUAAAUAUCAGCAGUAGACCGAUAGUAAACAAGUACCAUGAGGGAAAAUUGAAAAGCACUUCGAAAGGAGGCUUAAAAGACCUGAACUCAUAUACGAGGAAGCUUAUGUGUGUCGCAAAUAGUUGCUGAUCGUGCCUGGCACGCUCUCAUCUUUGACAUACAGAAGACCCGUCUUGAAACACGGACCGAGGAGUUGGUCUCAUUUGCAAGUAUAACGAUUAAAAUCGUGAUGCGUAGAGAAAUCAAUAUGUGUAAUCUUGACUGCACUGGCCGGGGAAACUCGUGUUUGAGCAGAUGUGAUCAGACCCGAAAGAUGGUGAUCUAUGCCUGGGUAGGGUGAAGCCAGGGGAAACUCUGGUGGAAGCUCUAAGCGAUACUGACGUGCAAAUCGUUCGUAAAAUCUAGGUAUAGGGGCGAAAGACUAAUCGAACCAUCUAGUAGCUGGUUCCCUCCGAAGUUUCCCUCAGGAUAGCUGGAAGCUAUUGAGUUGCAUCCGGUAAAGCGAAUGAUUAGAGGACUCGGGAGUCAUAGUAUUCUCGGCCUAUUCUCAAACUCAGAAUGGAUGUGCAUGUGUGCUUAUUAAUUUAGAACAUAUGACAAAUCAUGCUUCUUAGUGGGCCAUUUUUGGUAAGCAGAACUGGCGAUGAGGGAUGCUCCUAACGUGCGGCGAAGGUGCCAAAGGGUUGCUGAUCAGAUCCCACAAAAGGUGUUAUUUCAUUGAAACAGCAGGGCGGUGGUCAUGGAAGUCGAAAUCCGCUAAGGAGUGUGUAACAACUCACCUGCCGAAUGAAGCAGCCCUGAAAAUGGAUGGCGCUCAAGCAACUCACCGCUACCGCACCAGCAAUACAAUUCUAUUGCUGUGUAGGAGGGCGUGAAAAUAGCGUUGAAGAACAAUACGUGAGUUUGUUUGGAGCUGUUUUUAGUGCAGAUCUUGGUGUGAGUAGCAACUAGUCGUGUGGAAUACGUGACAACUGUCGUGGAUAAGGGUUCCGAGCAAACAGUAUUUGUCCUCGGGUCAGUCGGUCCUAAGGGGGAGUCUCAUUGGCUUUGAACAACACUUGUGUUGGCCCCAAAAGGGAAAAAGGUUAAAAUUCCUUUUCUUCAUCUCAAUGUAAAUGGCAACAUAAUAUCAAUUCACCUGUCAGGCGAUUCUCCUUGGAGCGUCUUCUCAGCUCUCUGAUAAUUGAAUGCUCACGAAUGGGAUUGACCCGCGACCGAGCUACACAAUUAAAUAGGUUUUCCUCACGGGAAAUUAGGUAGUAGUCGAAUGACCCGUGAAAAGUGGAUUGAAAUUAUUGAAAUGAACCCGUACCCUAAACCGCAUCAGGUCUCUCGGGUUAAUAGCCCCAAGUUUGAUAGGAGAAUGUGUGUGAGGGAAGUCGGCAAAUUAGAUCUGUAACUUUGGGAAAAAGGUUGGCUCUGGGAGUCAGUCCAUCAUGAUCCUACGGUGAUUGCUUGAACCUUACGGUUGUGGACAUAUUGACAACCCCAGAACUGGUGUUGACUAGAGGAAUCUGACUGUUUAAUUAAAACAAAGCAUUGCGAUAAGCCCCAAGGCUAUACACGCAAUGUGAUUUCUGCCCAGUGCUCUGAAUGUCAUUGUGAUGGAAUUCGUAUAAGCGCGGGUAAACGGCGGGAGUAACUAUGACUCUCUUAAGGUAGCCAAAUGCCUCGUCGUCUAAUUAAUGACGCGCAUGAAUGGAUCAACGAGAUUCCUACUGUCCCCACUCACCACCUAGCGAAACCACAGCCAAGGGAAUGGGCUUGGCAAAAUAAGCGGGGAAAGAAGACCCUGUUGAGCUUGACUCUAGUUUGAUUUUGUGGAGUGACUUAUGAGGCGUAGAAUACGUGGGAGCACUUGUGCGAGCUUGAAAUACCACGACUCUUAAUGUCGCUCUGCUUACCCGAUAAUAUGAAAACUGCAUUGCAGCAUGAAAUCUAAAGUCAUUUGAUGGUCGAUUCAUUGCGGGAACAGAAUCAGAUGGGGAGUUUGGCUGGGGCGGCACAUCUGCUAAACUGCAACGCAGAUGCCCUAAGGUUAACUCAAAGAGAACAGAAAUCUCUUGUAGACUGAAAGGGGAAAAGUUAGCUUGAUUCUGAUUUCCAGUAAUAAUAAGAACUGCGAAAGCAUGGCCUAUCGAUCCUUUAAGCCCAGGUUGAUUCUGGCUAGAGGUGACAGAAAAGUUACCACAGGGAUAACUGGCUUGUGGCAGCCAAGCGUUCAUAGCGACGUUGCUUUUUGAUCCUUCGAUGUCGGCUCUUCCUAUCAUUGAGACGCAGAAGUCCCAAAGUGUCGGAUUGUUCACCCGUUAAUAGGGAACGUGAGCUGGGUUUAGACCGUCGUGAGACAGGUUAGUUUUACCCUACUUAUAUACACGUCGCAAGAGUAGAGCAACCUAGUACGAGAGGAACAGUUGCUCCAAGUCACUGGUAGAGUGGUUGGCUGAGCAGCCAGUGCCGCUAAGCUACAUUUGAGGGAUAAUGGCUGAACGCCUCUAAGCCAAAACCCCAGCUUGAAGCGACGUUUGAUCUUACUUCCAUUGAAUUUAAUUGAUACAUAACGGAAGUUGAUCUAUGUAUGACUGAUAGACGAUCGG
rnacentral:rRNA from 1 species